rnacentral:rRNA from 1 species
GAUGAACGCUGGCGGCGUGCCUAAUACAUGCAAGUCGAGCGAACAGACGAGGAGCUUGCUCCUGUGACUUUAGCGGCGGACGGGUGAGUAACACGUGGAUAACCUACCUAUAAGACGGGGAUAACUUCGGGAAACCGGAGCUAAUACCGGAUAAUAUAUUGAACCGCAUGGUUCAAUAGUGAAAGACGGUGUUGCUUUCACUUAUAGAUUGAUCCGCGCCGCAUUAGCUAGUUGGUAAGGUAACGGCUUACCAAGGCAACGAUGCGUAGCCGACCUGAGAGGGUGAUCGGCCACAGUGGAACUGAGACACGGUCCAAACUCCUACGGGAGGCAGCAGUAGGGAAUCUUCCGCAAUGGGCGAAAGCCUGACGGAGCAACGCCGCGUGAGUGAUGAAGGUCUUCGGAUCGUAAAACUCUGUUAUUAGGGAAGAACAAAUGCGUAAGUAACUAUGCACGUCUUGACGGUACCUAAUCAGAAAGCCACGGCUAACUACGUG